rnacentral:rRNA from 1 species
UACAGAGGUCUCGAGCGUUGUUCGGAUUCAUUGGGCGUAAAGGGCGCGUAGGCGGCGGGGUAAGUCUGGUGUGAAAUCUCGGAGCUCAACUCCGAAAUUGCACUGGAUACUGCUCUGCUAGAGGGCUGGAGAGGAGAUCGGAAUUCACGGUGUAGCAAUGAAAUGCGUAGAUAUCGUGAGGAAGACCAGUGGCGAAGGCGGAUCUCUGGACAGCUCCUGACGCUGAGGCGCGAAGGCUAGGGGAGCAAACGGG